GUCCUUUCGUGGCUCUAUAUAUACCCACUAGCGAGCUCCUCGUCCUCAAGAGACCAAGGCCGCGGGGAGAGAGAGAGAGAGAGCGGUAGGAGGAUUCGAUCGGUAGGUGCGUCCUCUUCGAGGCCAACACCGUCGUUGGAUCCUCUUCUUAAAGCCCAGAUCCCUUAUUUCUUUCAUUAUUUUCUUUCCCUUUCAAGAAUCCGAGCUUUCCGGUUCGCUUUUGUUGUCUUUCUCUAGGUGAAUUAUUCAAGAACCAUCCGUUUUCCAAGAAUUGGAUAAUAACUUUUUUAAAAAAGGAAAAGAAAAAGAAUCUUUUCGCCCUCUACUGCGAAUCUGAUGGCUUCCGUGUUAUCUUUUCACCGAUUUCUUAAAACCCGGUAACUUUCCUUGGAUUUAUUAUCGGGAGAGUGUUUUAACCUUAAGCCCUAAAUCCAUCUGUAACGGGUUUGGCUUUAAGGAUCAAGAUAUGAUCCGUAGAUUUACGAAUGUGGGUAAAUCAAAGGGUUCUUGGUAGGUCACUUGUUACCCUAGCGAAAAAUAUUUCAUAUUUAACUCAGAUUGCUGAUGGAAAGAAACGAUUAUAAUUCGGUUUGACAUGUUCUAGUCCGUUACAGUGGUUCAAUUACACGUUAGAUAUCGAUCAUCGAAUAGCCAUUUUCUUGAAUUCAUCUCUUUUCUUGAGGGUUUUUUUAUUUUUGAUAUUAGAGAGGGGCUUUUCUUGAGUUGAACCAUUUUUUUUUGUUUCGAUCUCUUGAGUCAAUAGCUAUUUACUUGAGUUGAUCUGUUUUCUUCAGUUGGUGGCGAUUUUCUCAAUAGUAAUAUUUCUACGGCCAUUUUCUUGAGUUAAUAGCCAUUUUCCUGAGUCAAUUGCCAUAAGUAUAGCGAUUUUCUCAAUAAUCAUAUUUCUAACAGUCCAUUUUCUUGAUUUUUUUUUUUCCCGAAAUGACCCAUUUUCUUGAGUUGUUAGCCAUUUUCCUGAGUCAAUUGCCAUGAGCAUUGGUUGAAUUAUACAUAUGAAUUAUCAGAUAACUGUUUCCUGAGUUGAUAAGCCCGAUAACCAUUUUCUUGAGUCGAUCUCAUUAUUGCACCAGACAGUUGCUCUCCAGUAACCGAAUUAAAAUAAUAAUGCUAUGGAUUUUUUUAGUACUAAUUUGGUUGCCAGAAUAAAAUAUCUUCUAAUCUUUCCGAUUGAAGGGAGAAACAAAUUGAAAAGUCCAGCAAAUAAGCAGUUUUCUUUUCCCUAUGUAGUUUAGGCUCUUUAUAGUAAAUCAAGAUCUGUUAUUAGCCGAUGGAAUUGGCAUUGCCUGGUAUGUAGACUUCAUACUUUGUUAUAGAAGAUGUUUCUAAUGCUGUGCUCCACCCGAUUAUAUGACCAAUCAUCAAAUUAUGAACAGGGGUUUUGUAGGGUCUUCCUUGGUUUACAUUUACUGGAUGGCCUACUAACAACUAUUCCAUCAAAUUUUGUAGCACUACUAACAACUAUUCCAGAUUCAGAGUAUGAAAAACGACAGUAUCAGAGCCAAACACCCAUGUUGAAUGUUACCUAUACUAGGUCCAGGACAGUGAAAGAGAAAGUGGUGCUAACUCUGCUGAGUUGAGCAAAUUUAAGACCAUAGCUCCAUGUCUCACCUUCAACCCAGUUGGGAUGGUGUUGGAGGGGCUUUCUUGAGCUACAUUUACAGUUCCUGAUGCUUCAUUGGACUGUAGGCCUGAAGAAUGGGGCCUUCUCCCCCUUUCAUCUUAGUUGGGGGAGCAUGAGUGUUUUAUGUGCUCUUAUGUGCAAUGAGGGGCUUUUCACACAUUUUGAUGGCUUGUUGGCCCAUAUUCGAUCGAGGGAUUGAAAUAUUUCUCCUAGAUGCAGUUUGCAUUAUGGACACUCUUAUAUUGUAAAGGUCCUUUUUAACCUCAUUUGCUAUGCAUAAGGGGGGGGAGGUGGUUACAACCCCUUGGAGUUAUGAACUGAUUAUGGACCCAACAUGCCUUCCUAGUUUACCCACACCACAUUGUUGGGGGAGAUGAGUAUCCCCUUUGUCUAUUAGAGGUGGUUAUGACCCCUUGGAUUUGUCAAGUGAUAAAGGACCCAACAUGCCAUUCUAGCUACCACCACCACAUUGGUGUUGUUUGCUUGGUUUGUGAUUCCAUCAUGUAGCCCAAAGUUGAGGCCAAGAGGAAACUUCAACAAGAGCGACAUAGAUCAUAUUUCUAACCUUACCUAUCAGAUUGCCAUUUGGGAUUGUUUAAUUUGUGUCAAGUAACCUUAAUUGGUGAGUCCCAUUUGGGUUCUUGGAAGCUUGAUUUGAGAUGGGGCCCAUACGUUUGAAGCGGUAAGUUGAAGCAAAUGGGCUCACAAGUCAAGAUUUCAUGCAUGAAAGUUCUGAUGAGGUCCUUAUAUGAUGCAAACAUCAGAUGGAAAGCCUUGCGGUAAGAACAAUUGUUAUGAAAUUGUAGUAAGGGAAAAUACUAAUUACAAUUUGUAAACAAUUGGAAGAUGAAAUAGCACCAUCAGAUUUGACAUUGAUAAACUUUUUUUUUUGUUUGGUACAACAUUGACUAAACUGUUCAAUGGUUCAAGAAUCGUGAGAAUUGGGGUUCAGGCAGAGGACCUACAGUUUUCUUUAUUGAAGACAUGUUGAAUCUUCUGAAUAUUACAAAUUUUUUUUGCUGAUGCGGGAUUUAGGCACAAAGUGGUUCGAGUCCUUUAUUUUGCAAGAUUUGAGUUGUAAUUUAUAGGGUUUAGGGAUGUUGUUUAGGACUAGUGGUUGUGAUGUUGAGGUUUCCAAGAGCCCCUGUAAUCCAUGGUCAGAAUGGUUUUUGAGUUAGGUUAAUAUUUUGCUUGUGUUCUCUAUACACAGCCUUGUGUUGGGUCCUUUGGAUAUAGAGUUCAAUGGUGAGAGCUGAAUAUUUAAUUAAAUUUGAGUGAUAAAGCAUAAUUUCUCCACAGACCUUUCUCCUCCUCCAUAUCACCUAGCUUUUACUGUACUUCUUCUCUGAUAACCUUGUAGUUCUUUCUGUCUCAGAUUUAGGUUAAUAUUUUGCUUGUUUUCUCUAUACAUAGCCUUGCGGAGGGUCUUUUGGAUAGAGUUAAAUGGUGAGAGCUGAAAAUUAAAUUAAAUUUGAGUGAUAAAGCGUAAUUUCUCCACAGACCUUUCUCCCCUCUCCUCCAUAUCACCUAAUUUUUACUGUACAUCUUCUCUGAUAACCUUGGCGUUCUUUGUGUCUCAGAUGUGACCUUCCUGCACAUGUGCAUGUUAAGUAUACCUUACGACAUGUUCAUAGGACAAUGUGCAAGCUGCGAUGUGGGCAAUACAGGCCGGGCCAGUUCCAUGCAGCAUUUUUUCAAAGGAUUUGGUGGCAUGUGAAGGAGAUGCAGGCUACCAAUUGUGUUGCCUCUUUGUUUAGCUUGAUUUGUUUUUUAAUGUCCCAUGUGUUCAUCUUUUGUAGCUCAAAUCAAUUGGUGAAGGCUUAUGGAAUCUAGAACAGUAAAGUAUACUCAGCUUAGGCAUAGGUUUUCUUUGUUUUACCUUACAAUUUAAAUACCUUUUGCAUUAAAUUUCAUCGGCUACAUUUAGCUGCAUUUGUUCUGCUGUAGUUUACUUAAAGAAUAUUUGCUGUUUCAUCAAAUAAAUAUUUGUAGCUCGUAAUAUGAUCAGGUAGGAUGUGUGAAUUGGAUCAAUCUUGUAGACAUUGGACUAUUUAGAUCACAACGACGUAGCUCAUGGUUGAUUUUACCAUGACGUGUCAACACAAAUGCUUAAGGUUGGGAUACCGCCACCUAAGGACUUCCUUAAUCACGUACUACAUGUGCGCUAUCCAACUCAAAGCAUCAGGUUAUGUGCUAAUUUUUUUGAUUGUUACAAAUAUUUAAUGCAUUGACGAAUAAGCUCUUCUCAUAAUAUGCAAGUUCUUUUUUCUCUAGAAGCACGAAAUAGUAAUGACUGACUCAAAAUUAGAUGAAGCAUUUGGCUGCAAAUUGUGCUUUUCUACAUUGACAGUUCAGCGCUUCGUCAUGUGUACGUAUUCUUCUCAGAUAUUAACUUUUGUCAAUCUUGAUAUGGGAAGCCUUUGACUUGACCUACCCAGUCCAACUCAUGGUUACAGUCCUAUGCAGUAACAUUAUUAGAAGAAUGAUACAAAACCUUUGCUUAUGCAUAAGUUUCUUAAAUAAUUUAUGAUCUGCGGUAUUUGUUCUGUCUUGCAGGGCGACCACGGAGGGUUUUGUCUAGCUUAAUACAUUUUUUUGUUGACAGCGGCCAUGCUGUCAUUCUAUUCCAUCCAGCAAAGCUCCAACUUCUUGGGUUCUUUGAAAGUGACAAACAUGGAAUACGUGAUUGUAGAUGCAAGAUGGAACAGCAUAUUUUUGCAGAAAAAGGUGAUGAAAAUGUCGACAUACAGCUGGGUUGAAUCUAUGGCAUCAGUGUCUUAGAAAUUUAGUGUCAAAUGGACACAGAUAUUACAAAUGGGACUUGGCCACAACUCAUUGUUGCUAUCCGAAUGGGUCAAUAGAGAGGGCCGCUACAUGGACCUUUCUGGAGCUGGAGGAAUACUGGAAUGAGUCGCGGGGAUCCCUAUCUGGGAUGCCUUUUUUGUUCCUGAGUUCUGUCAACUAAUAGAAAACGAUAGCCCUGGGGAAUGAACACACUCUUCUGAACAACAACAUGGUAUUAAUAGUAGGGCAUCUAAAUUUGAGCAGUUGUACGUAUCCCAGCUGAAGCCAUCCCACCAUGUUGCUGCCUAGGCUGUGCCCAGAGUAGAGCUGUAGUCAUCUCUCAGAAGUUCCACCUUCUCGCAACAUGAUGUGCUUUACCGGUACUUCGUCACCCCACUACCCAUCACUCCCUCUCCGGGGAAAACAGAUUCUUGAUGCAUCGUUUACAUGGACUGUUGCACAUCUAAACUAAGAAAAAGAAGCUGGAAGCUUUUCUGAGGUUUUAUGAGAUUGCCGGAAGAUUUAAUAAAGAAGGCAGAUAUUGGGGUCCUUAUUUAUCAUUUCCUGUAUUUUAGUGAGAGAGAAUUUGAGAUUAAGGGCUAAGAGGAGCAUGUCUUGGUCCGAUGAUGCCAACUCAGAUCAAAUCAGGCAUGAGUUCCUUCUUCUACAUUCUUCAUUUUCUUCUUGAAGACUAACCUUAAUAUUCUUUUAUUUUACUUUAAUUUUUCUCUUUUCCUCGCACUUUCUUCUUGAAGGUUUGGGAGAAGUCAAUUCGCGUUUUUUUUUCCUCAUAAAUAAGCAAAACUAGUUUAUGAAAUGGGGUUUUAUUUUUAAAUACUA